UACAGAGGGUGCGAGCGUUAAUCGGAAUUAUUGGGCGUAAAGGGCGCGUAGGCGGCUCAUGAAGGCUGUGGUGAAAGUCCGGGGCUCAACCUCGGAUCGGCCGUGGCGACUCGUGGGCUGGAGCACUGUAGAGGCGGGUGGAAUUCCGGGUGUAGCGGUGGAAUGCGUAGAGAUCCGGAAGAACACCAGUGGCGAAGGCGGCCCGCUGGGCAGUGGCUGACGCUGAGGCGCGACAGCGUGGGGAGCAAACAGG
rnacentral:rRNA from 1 species